rnacentral:tRNA from 1 species
GGCAGGGUAGCUCAAUGGUAGAGCAGGGUCUUCAUAAGGCCAAGGUUGUGGGUUCGAUCCCCACCUCUGCCACCA